AUUGAACGCUGGCGGCAGGCCUAACACAUGCAAGUCGAGCGGUAGCACAGAGAGCUUGCUCUCGGGUGACGAGCGGCGGACGGGUGAGUAAUGUCUGGGAAACUGCCUGAUGGAGGGGGAUAACUACUGGAAACGGUAGCUAAUACCGCAUAACGUCGCAAGACCAAAGUGGGGGACCUUCGGGCCUCAUGCCAUCAGAUGUGCCCAGAUGGGAUUAGCUAGUAGGUGGGGUAACGGCUCACCUAGGCGACGAUCCCUAGCUGGUCUGAGAGGAUGACCAGCCACACUGGAACUGAGACACGGUCCAGACUCCUACGGGAGGCAGCAGUGGGGAAUAUUGCACAAUGGGCGCAAGCCUGAUGCAGCCAUGCCGCGUGUGUGAAGAAGGCCUUCGGGUUGUAAAGCACUUUCAGCGGGGAGGAAGGCGGUGAGGUUAAUAACCUCAUCGAUUGACGUUACCCGCAGAAGAAGCACCGGCUAACUCCGUGCCAGCAGCCGCGGUAAUACGGAGGGUGCAAGCGUUAAUCGGAAUUACUGGGCGUAAAGCGCACGCAGGCGGUCUGUCAAGUCGGAUGUGAAAUCCCCGGGCUCAACCUGGGAACUGCAUUCGAAACUGGCAGGCUAGAGUCUUGUAGAGGGGGGUAGAAUUCCAGGUGUAGCGGUGAAAUGCGUAGAGAUCUGGAGGAAUACCGGUGGCGAAGGCGGCCCCCUGGACAAAGACUGACGCUCAGGUGCGAAAGCGUGGGGAGCAAACAGGAUUAGAUACCCUGGUAGUCCACGCCGUAAACGAUGUCGAUUUGGAGGUUGUGCCCUUGAGGCGUGGCUUCCGGAGCUAACGCGUUAAAUCGACCGCCUGGGGAGUACGGCCGCAAGGUUAAAACUCAAAUGAAUUGACGGGGGCCCGCACAAGCGGUGGAGCAUGUGGUUUAAUUCGAUGCAACGCGAAGAACCUUACCUGGUCUUGACAUCCACAGAACCUGGCAGAGAUGCCGGGGUGCCUUCGGGAACUGUGAGACAGGUGCUGCAUGGCUGUCGUCAGCUCGUGUUGUGAAAUGUUGGGUUAAGUCCCGCAACGAGCGCAACCCUUAUCCUUUGUUGCCAGCGGUCCGGCCGGGAACUCAAAGGAGACUGCCAGUGAUAAACUGGAGGAAGGUGGGGAUGACGUCAAGUCAUCAUGGCCCUUACGACCAGGGCUACACACGUGCUACAAUGGCGCAUACAAAGAGAAGCGACCUCGCGAGAGCAAGCGGACCUCAUAAAGUGCGUCGUAGUCCGGAUUGGAGUCUGCAACUCGACUCCAUGAAGUCGGAAUCGCUAGUAAUCGUGAAUCAGAAUGUCACGGUGAAUACGUUCCCGGGCCUUGUACACACCGCCCGUCACACCAUGGGAGUGGGUUGCAAAAGAAGUAGGUAGCUUAACCUUCGGGAGGGCGCUUACCACUUUGUGAUUCAUGACUGGGGUGA
rnacentral:rRNA from 1 species